GAUGAAGAACGCAGCGAAAUGCGAUAAGUAGUGUGAAUUGCAGAAUUCAGUGAAUCAUCGAAUCUUUGAACGCACAUUGCGCCCCCCGGCAUUCCGGGGGGCAUGCCUGUUCGAGCGUCUCCAGGACGAAUCCUCGCGCGAGUGAACGCGCGGUCGUGGCGGAGGUGGCGUGCCCGAGCAGGGCGGCCACCGCGCUGGAAUCCAUGGGCGGACGCCUGCCGCGUGGCCGAGCGUGAUGUGACGCAUUGGCGCUCGUGCGCGGCGAGGCUGCCAGCCCUGGCCCGUCUGUCGGGCGGGGUAGAUCACCACGUGGGACCUCCUCGAAUCAGGUAGGGAUACCCGCUGAACUUAAGCAUAUCCAUAACCGGAGGA
rnacentral:misc_RNA from 1 species